UCGGGUAAUUACCCGAAUGUGAACUAAAUCACUUCAAAGAACGGAGAAGUCUCAGUAUCAUCAGGAGAGUUAAACCCUCGCCGCCUGACGGUGAGGGUUUUCUUUUAGG
rfam:Citrobacter rodentium ICC168, complete genome